UGGUGGGUUGCCUUGUCAGGUUGAUUCCGGUAACGAACGAGACCUCAGUCUGCUAACUAGUCACAUCCGCUUCGGCGGAUGGCAGACUUCUUAGAGGGACUGCUUGCGAUAUGCAAGCGGAAGUAUGAGGCAAUAACA
rnacentral:rRNA from 1 species